rnacentral:rRNA from 1 species
CUUGCAAACCAAAGCUGGCGACCGGCGCACGGGUGAGUAACACGUAUCCAACCUGCCUCAUACUCGGGGAUAGCCUUUCGAAAGAAAGAUUAAUAUCCGAUAGCAUAUAUUUCCCGCAUGGGUUUUAUAUUAAAGAAAUUCGGUAUGAGAUGGGGAUGCGUUCCAUUAGUUUGUUGGGGGGGUAACGGCCCACCAAGACUACGAUGGAUAGGGGUUCUGAGAGGAGGGUCCCCCACAUUGGAACUGAGACACGGUCCAAACUCCUACGGGAGGCAGCAUG